UACGUAGGUGGCGAGCGUUGUCCGGAUUUACUGGGCGUAAAGAGCGCGCAGGCGGUCGUACAAGUCGCGUGUGAAAGCCCCCGGCUCAACUGGGGAGGGUCACGCGAUACUGUUCGACUCGAAGGCAGGAGAGGGUAGUGGAAUUCCCGGUGUAGUGGUGAAAUGCGUAGAUAUCGGGAGGAACACCAGUGGCGAAGGCGGCGACCUGGGUCGAGACUGACGCUGAGGCGCGAAAGCGUGGGGAGCAAACAGG
rnacentral:rRNA from 1 species